rnacentral:rRNA from 1 species
AAUAGAUACCCCGGUAGUCCACGCCGUAAACGAUGAACACUAGGUUUUGGCCCCGUCAACGGGCCGGAGCCGCAGCUAACGCGUUAAGUGUUCCGCCUGGGGAGUACGGUCGCAAGACUGAAACUCAAAGGAAUUGACGGGGGGCCCGCACAAGCGGUGGAGCAUGUGGUUUAAUUCGACGCAACGCGAAGAACCUUACCAAGGCUUGACAUGGGAAAGACCGGACGAGAGAUCGUCCUUCUCCAGCAAUGGAGCUUUCCACACAGGUGCUGCAUGGCUGUCGUCAGCUCGUGUCGUGAGAUGUUGGGUUAAGUCCCGCAACGAGCGCAACCCUCGUCUUUAGUUGCCAUCAUUCAGUUGGGCACUCUAGAGAGACCGCCGCGAACAACGGCGGAGGAAGGUGGGGACGACGUCAAGUCAUCAUGGCCCUUACGUCUUGGGCUACACACGUGCUACAAUGGGUGUUACAGAGGGUCGCAAUGCCGCAAGGUGGAGCCAAUCCCUAAAAAGCAUCCUCAGUUCAGAUCGGGGUCUGCAACGUCCCG